rnacentral:rRNA from 1 species
UCCGAAGGGGGCUAGCGCUGUUCGGAAUUACUGGGCGUAAAGCGCACGUAGGCGGGUUGUUAAGUCAGGGGUGAAAUCCUGGAGCUCAACUCCAGAACUGCCUUUGAUACUGGCAACCUAGAGACUGGAAGAGGUUAGUGGAAUUCCCAGUGUAGAGGUGAAAUUCGUAGAUAUUGGGAAGAACACCAGUGGCGAAGGCGGCUAACUGGUCCAGCACUGACGCUGAGGUGCGAAAGCGUGGGGAGCAAACAGG